rnacentral:tRNA from 1 species
GCAGUAGCUCAGUGGUAGAGCUAUCGGCUGUUAACCGAUCGGUCGUAGGUUCGAGUCCUACCUGCG